rnacentral:rRNA from 1 species
AAGCGACGAUCAGUAGCCGGCCUGAGAGGGUGGACGGCCACAUUGGGACUGAGACACGGCCCAAACUCCUACGGGAGGCAGCAGUGGGGAAUAUUGCACAAUGGGGGAAACCCUGAUGCAGCGACGCCGCGUGAGUGAAGAAGUAUUUCGGUAUGUAAAGCUCUAUCAGCAGGAACGAGACAAGACGGUACCUGACUAAGAAGCCCCGGCUAACUACGUGCCAGCAGCCGCGGUAAUACGUAGGGGGCAAGCGUUAUCCGGAAUCACUGGGUGUAAAGGGAGCGUAGACGGCUGUGCAAGCCUGAAGUGAAAGGCGGGGGCCCAACCCCUGGACUGCUUUGGGAACUGUACGGCUGGAGUGCAGGAGAGGUAAGUGGAAUUCCUAGUGUAGCGGUGAAAUGCGUAGAUAUUAGGAGGAACACCAGUGGCGAAGGCGGCUUACUGGACUGUAACUGACGUUGAGGCUCGAAAGCGUGGGGAGCAAACAGGAUUAGAUACCCUGGUAGUCCACGCCGUAAACGAUGAUUACUAGGUGUCGGGGGGCAGAGGCCCUUCG